rnacentral:rRNA from 1 species
GAACGGUAUCGGAUUAUUGGGCGUAAGCGCGCGCAGGCGGUUUCUUAAGUCUGAUGUGAAAGCCCACGGCUCAACCGUGGAGGGUCAUUGGAAACUGGGGAACUUGAGUGCAGAAGAGAAAAGCGGAAUUCCACGUGUAGCGGUGAAAUGCGUAGAGAUGUGGAGGAACACCAGUGGCGAAGGCGGCUUUUUGGUCUGUUACUGACGCUGAGGCGCGAAAGCGUGGGGAGCAAACAGGAUUAAAUACCCUGGUAGUCCACGCCGUAAACGAUGAGUGCUAAGUGUUAGAGGGUUUCCGCCCUUUAGUGCUGCAGCUAACGCAUUAAGCACUCCGCCUGGGGAGUACGGUUGCAAGACUGAAACUCAAAGGAAUUAACGGGGGCCCACAUAGGCAGUGUAGUAUGUGGUUUAAUUGAAAGGAUGGCGAAGUGCCUUUUCAGGGUGUGAUGUCCUCAAUGACUGUAAAAAUGUGCCUGCCCCUUGAGGGGACAGACUGUCAGAUGUGGCU